ACCCUAGUCCCAUCUCCUCCCUCCCCGCCGCCACUCUCUUCUGCAACCGCGCUGCUCUCCUCCGCAUGCUCGUCUCUAGGCCGGUGAUCGCUGGCCAAAAACUACCGUCGCCAUGCUGUGCUUCGUUGUCCCCAGCGCUGCAUCCUCGACGCUGCUCGACUCUCCUUGGUGAGCUCCGCGUCCUCCCGAACAUCUCCCAGGCCGCUCUUCGUUUUUCUUGCCGUGCUACCGGCGUUGAAGGCCGCCCUCUUUUCGCAGGACUUCGUCGCCGGCAAAACUCUGGCGUCUACGGUCUACCAGAGUGAAGUCCAGCCUUUUCUAUUUCCCCGACGCAGACCUCUACAUCAACACCGGCCGGCCGCCCGCCAAGUUCGCCGCGUGCUGUUUCAUGAUCCUCACCGUCGCCUCCGUUUCGCUGACGGGCUGUUUCGGCAACGUCGCUGCCUGGACCAACCUUCUCCGCCAACGAAGGUCGCCGUUCCAGGCGUUCUCGUCUCCGUCCGCUGCACUGAAGGCCAGCAUCAAAGCCACGCCACGGCCAAGCCGCCAAGCGCGCAUCCGCCGUCGACACUGGCCGGCCGGCUCCGUCCGCUUCCGUCGCCCCUCCAUCUAUCAGUAUCGCGUGUACCAGCAGGCAAAGGAGCUGCUUUGUUGGUUCAGUGUGGUGCAGUACACGGCCACGACAUGAUCUGAUGCUAGCUCAGCUGUUGGACCCACCCGUCAGUGACCUCCGGUGACACAUCUGCUGCAGAUCCCAGUCAGCUUCCCCAGGCCCCGUCUGUCAUCCCCUCUGGCUCGGAUUUGCUCGCAUUUGCUUCUUCGCGGAUAGGAUCACGAAGUUGUGUGGUGAGAUACGCCAAGUUCUCCGGAUGUUCCUCGGCAAGCUUUAACAG